GGGCGCUUGAGCAAUAGUAGGUCCUUCCUUUACUUACCUUAGGAUUGAUCACAACAAAUGGACCCCUAUUUUCAUGAUUAAAAAACAAAUGACACCCUAUUCUCUUCUCCUUCUACUUAAAACACACACACACACUUUCUCUCUCUCUCUCUCUCUCUCUCUCUCUCUCUCUCUCUCUCUCUCUCUCUCUCUCUCUCCUAAUUCUGAUUUUGUUAUCAGAGAUGGCUGACCCAAAGUAUGCUUAUCCCUACCCUGCUCAAGGUCCCUACCCUGCUCAAGGUUACUACCAAGGCCCUCCAGUAGUGGCACCUCCACAGUAUUAUGCUGCUCCUCCACCUCCGAGAAGAGAACCUGGUUUCCUUGAGGGAUGUCUGGCGGCUCUGUGUUGCUGUUGCCUCAUUGAUGAGUGUUGCUGUGACCCUUCCAUCAUCUUCAUUAGCUGAUCCCUUCUUGCGGUGGUGUCUCCCAUUGGUCUUUUCCUUCUACUUUAAUUCCCCACUUUUAAGAUUUCCAUGAUCUUGAUUAGCUAGCGGCCAUGUUGAAUCACUAAAACAUUGUACUAGUAAUCAUGUGUAAUCACUCCAAUUGAAUGUAUGAAACUUUGCAGUAAUCAUGGUUAAUCAGUCCAAA